UCCGCUGGCGUCAUGACAUUCGCGGUGCUGCUCCCCGCGAGCAACGCCGCGAUUACAAAGAGGGAACUGAGAGGGCGAGCAGCGAGGAGGGUGACUAGCGCCUCGCCACCGGCGUACCCCUCUCCCCUCGUUGUGCGCCUCGCACUGCUCACAGCCUCGCGUUGAUCCCGCCGCCAUACAGAAGGCACGUGGCGCCUUUAUGUGCAGUUUUGUAGCUGUGGUCGUAGUUUUGCCGCUGUGUACGUUGGCGUUGUAACAGGUGUUCUGUGGUGCCGUUCGGUGUCGUGCAAAGAGCUCUCCUGCAAAAAUCUGCUGCAACAGUUUCCCCAAGGAAGCACAACAGAUGUUGAAGAUGCCAUCAAAUCAUGGCUCAGACAUGCACCGGAAAGGGCAUCAGGCACCCUCGAACACAAGGAGCCUGCAACGUCUGUUGAAGACUCAAAUGAAGAUGCUGAAUGAGUACCUUCCUUGCCCGCUGCACUCCAAUCCCAUGCCAGUGCCAUGACAUUCGUGUGCCCGAUUACAGCAGCUACCAAGUAGCUAUAGAUAGUACCUUCACAGCAUCAUUGUUACUUUUUCUC